GUGCUCACUUCAGUAGCACAUAUACUAAAACUGGAAUGAUACAGAGAAGAUUAGCAUGGCCCCUGUGCAGGAAUAACAUGCAAAUUCAGGAAGCAUUCUAUCUUUUU
ensembl:snRNA U6 U6 spliceosomal RNA